UAAAGAGCAUUUCUCAAUCCUGCACAAAAUAAGUCCCGCCCACAGAUUUCCUGAGGAAUGCAGGUGGGGCAUGCCAAAAUGGGCGGUCUCACUCGUUUCCCGCGUGAAGUUAGCCAUUUCCCUCCAAAACUGUAGGUGCCUGUAUAAAUGCCUGAGGGACAUUUCACUCUGGUCCGAACUGCUCUUCUUUGAGGACACGAAUACGGUGAACAGUGGGACUUCAGCGUCAAGUGGAACAGCUAUGACCUGUAUGGAGAUCAAACCUGGAGAGGACAGACACCUGGUCCAACAAGGUGAUGGAUGGUUGACGGGACGAAUCACCGAGACGAAAGACGAGCCAAACAAUGGAGAGGGGCCGCCACAGGAGCCUGAAGGGAAAGUGUGAGACUCCUGGUCCAACAAGGUGAUGGAUGGUUGACGGGACGAAUCACCGAGACGAACAAGACGAGCCAAACAAUGGAGAGGGGCCGCCACAGGAGCCUGAAGGGAAAGUGUGAGACUCCUGGUCCAACAAGGUGAUGGAUGGUUGACGGGACGAAUCACCGAGACGAACGAGACGAGCCAAACAAUGGAGAGGGGCCGCCACAGGAGCCUGAAAGGAAAGUGUGAGACUCCUGGUCCAACAAGGUGAUGGAUGGUUGACAGAACGAAUCACCAAGACGAACAAAACGAGCCAAACAAUGGAGAGGGGCCGCCACAGGAGCCUGAAGGGAAAGUGUGAGACUCCUGGUCCAACAAGGUGAUGGACGGUUGCCAGGACGAAUGACCAAGAUGAACAAGACGAGCCAAACAAUGGAGAGGGGCCACCACAGGAGCCUGAAGGGAAAGUAACGAGAGCAGUCAGGAGCUGAAAGCGUGGGCAGAGGAACAGGCUGCUGAGGACGAGUUGGACGACGGUUUCCUAAACCGAAUCCUGAUUUCCUGUAAUCGAGUUUUGUGGACUGACAGUUUGUAUGUUGACAAAUUAGAGGCCAAGAUGUUGAAUAGUUGUCAUCAAAUCCUAGUUUGAUGGCAGCAUAUUGCUGCAUCCAGUCAGUGAAUGCGGGAGGGACAGCCUAACAUCACGCCUCUGUGUUUUCACCUUGUUCAUACACGACUCGAACAGAAGUCAAAACAAUCUGAGACUUUUAUGGUCGAUAACUUUGCAAGUACCAACCACAUGAUCUCAGCUUCCUCUUUCACCUCCAAAGUGUACUAUUUUAACAACACCCUGUGUUGUCUGAGUUUUCACACUUUCUUAUCCAAAACUGACAUCUGAUUACUUCAUUAUCAUCUUUUUCUUCUCCUUCCUCUUUUUCUGAGACCCCUCAGAUAGCUCAGCUUAAGAGCAGCUGACUGGAUUGAUAGAGGCUGAACACUGUGGAGACAAAGAGGCCGUUAUUGGAUUGUUGCUGAUGCUGCUCGGAGUCUCUCAGGGCAUAAUGAAGAGAGCACAACAAAUCCUGCUCCCCUUUGGGAAGAAGAUAGUAAGGCAAGAAGAGGACAAGAGGGGGAGAAAAGCAAAGAAAGUGAGUCUACAUGCCUGGUAACUGGCUGCCUACCCCCACCUACUGGCUCUGACUGCCUUCAUAUCUCCACAUCUGUACUGUACUCUGCUGUCCCUGCCCUCUUGAUGAAGAUUCCGCUGUAUCCACCGCGGCAGGAACACUGGAAGGAGGAGCGUUUGGGACCCUUCUUGCAAGAGCCUCCGUUCUGACAGGGGUUGGGCCUGCAGGGAGAUGCUGCGGAUGCAGGCGAGAAAAGAUCACUGACCGAUGUCUACCUCAAAGGAGACAACAAAUUAAGACUGACCAGAAAAAAAAACAUUCAAAUUCCACAACAACAGACCUUUCCUGCAGUUGGGCGGCCUGUAUGGUGGCUUGCACUUGCACUCGUAGAAUGGAGCAGCAGUGGUGACAACGCAGCUUCCGUGUCCACAGUUCACGUUCUUGCAAACAUCUUUUACUAAGAAAACACAGUCAAACCAUUAUAGUAUCCUAUGGCACACACACAAAAAACCGCCGUCGGCAGCUGUGUCACAGGAGCCUCCGUUGGAACAUGGGUUUGGAUCACACUCAUCUAAAUAACCCGAGAAGAAAAAUCAGUCAGGAGCAGAGUGCAGCAGAUUGUAAAGUUGUCUCCAUCAAUGUUGCAUUCAUGUGUCAUAAAGCCUCCAGUGUACUGUGUUUUGGUUGUUUACCUGUGACAUCCAGGAGCUCAUACAACCAGUCGUCUAGGGUCAAAUCAUAAUCUUCUGCAGGGACCUCAGUGGGAAGAUCAUAAUAAUAAUACUCAUAUUCUGUGGGGUGGGGGGGUGAAAAAAAGAGGUGUUUAAGAAUCGUAGUCAUGAAGGACUGAUCAAGUUUUAGUUAACUGGACACAAAGUGAGCGUGUUUUUACCAGCAAGGUCAUCGGUUUCUGAGAUUCCCUGUCACAAAACAUAUCAAUUAUUUACCAAGCUUUGCAUGUUUUUUUUUUCCAGAAUAUUAUUAAAACUAAGAUUUCCAUGACUCGUACUUACAUGGAAGGCAUGUCCAAAUGCAGCGAGUGCACACAGCUGUAUUAGUAAAGCUGUCAAGCAGCCCAUGUUGCUGUAGACCCUGGCCAUGAUGGAAGCAGUCUAAGGUUUUUGCUGAGAUGCAUGUCCUAAAUAACACAGAGCCCCCCCACCCACCCACCCACCCAUGUUAAUCAUUAGGACCCUGCAUUGAUUUGACAGAUGUUACAUGUGACUCAAAACUUUGUCUUUUUUCGCCCUGUGCCCCUUCAUUUUCUGUCGAGGUCAUCAAAAGUAAAAGCAGCGAGCAUGUAGCCCUCAUGGACUGUGUAAAGAUCUCCCACAAAAUCUUUAAAAUUUUUUGUUGUCAUCACAUUCCUGAGUGAUUAGAAGUUUCUCAAUACACGUCCAGCUCCCUAUGUCACAGCAUUAGAAUGACCUAGAUGACUGAGAACCUUCAUUAACAAACAUUCCUAAAUAGCAUUUUACUUUUAGCUUGUUUACUCAUCUGACAAUAUUGUUACAGAAACCUGGGUUAUGUGUUUAUGACAGUGGUGUUGCCCUUAGAAACCACGGGGUGCCAAAUCCCACAAAAUACCAGUUCCUACAUAAUGUUGCUUUAACCACAUAAUCAAUGAGCUUGCACACAAUUGCAGGGUGUCUCAGUUAAACCCCUUGAAUAGGCAAUAGCCCCCUUUUUUUGCUUCAUCGUAUCAUAAAGUAAAUGUUGAUUGCACAACAUAAUGAUUACAGAACACAGAAACCACCACUUCCACUUUGCUAUGUUGUCUGUCACCAGGCUUGAGGUCUUCUGGGAAAAUGAAGCCAGACCGGUGAUAAAUGGUGCCAGUCAUGCACUUGUCUCCAUUUCAGACUAAAUGACAAAAAAACAACUUAUGUUUUGUCCUAUGUUGUGGAUUGUGGCUACACUGAGGCUACUGGAAACAGAUGUCUUUGCAAUGGUGUCGCUUGGAAACACGUUGUACGGCAACAGUUUAAAGAAAAAGAUUUGAGUAGUCUCUCUUUGUGGUGGGGAAGUUCUGAUAUCUACCGAUGACACAUAUCUUUUUGUGUUCUUUCGUUAGAAACCCUUCCGUAGGGAUGUUGCAAUAUAUCGAUAUUGGCGCGAUAAGUGAGUUUUAAAAUCAAAUAUUGACUUUCUGUUACUAAGACACAUGAUAUUAUCUUAAAGAUCACACAUGCCUUUUGAAAUAUUUCCUUCCGCUCUUGCUUACGUUAUUGUAUCGUUUUUAUGAAUCCCACUGGCCCGGAUCAUGUAGUCAAACUCUGACGUUGUGACCAGCCCAAAUGUAACAGGAUGAUGAACUUGCACCACAAAGGAAAAACAAAAAGAAGACAGUUAUUAUUUGUCAGCUGGGCUGUUUUUUAUUCAAACAGUGAUCACUUUACAGUGGGAGCAAUAUCAUAUACUCAAUGUACAGCUCUAUAUAUAAUGUACACGGGGAGUAUGUGGAGAAAUCAGAGUAAAGAUCAGACCACUAUCUCUCUCCCUGUUUGUUAACCUCCGACAGGUUAAAGGGCCGUCACCUGUUUGCACAGUGUCAACCCAAAGUGUAUUCAGGCUACUGAUGGGGGGAAGAGUGCUUGUAAACCAUAUAUAAAUAUGCCAUUCAA